rnacentral:sRNA from 2 species
UCCUAGCCCUGAUGGGAGGGAAAAUCCUUUUGUGCUGGGUUUCGGCACAAAAGAUUGGAAGGAACAGCAGGAAAUAGC